AGGACAGGACCAGACUGUUUUCAGUGGCGCUCAGCAACAGGACAAGAGGCAACGGGCACAAACAGAAACACAGGAAGCUCUGUCUGAAUAUGAGGGAAAGCUUCUUGACUGUGAGAGUGACGGAGCACUGGAAGAGGUCACCCAGAG